UGGUAGUCCACGCAGUAAACGAUGAAUGUUAGUCGUCGGGUAGCUAGUCUAUUCGGUGAUGCAGCUAACGCAUUAAACAUUCCGCCUGGGGAGUACGGUCGCAAGAUUAAAACUCAAAGGAAUAGACGGGGACCCGCACAAGUGGUGGAGCAUGUGGUUUAAUUCGAAGAUACGCGAAGAACCUUACCUAGCCUUGACAUAUUUAAGAAUCCGGCAGAGAUGCUGGAGUGCCUUCGGGAGCUUUCUUACAGGUGCUGCACGGCUGUCGUCAGCUCGUGUCGUGAGAUGUUGGGUUAAGUCCCGCAACGAGCGCAACCCUCGUCACUAGUUACUAACGGUUCGGCCGAGGACUCUAGUGAGACUGCCUUCGUAAGGAGGAGGAAGGUGAGGACGACGUCAAGUCAUCAUGGCCCUUACGGCUAGGGCAACACACGUGCUACAAUGGCCAGGACAGUGAGACGCAAUACCGCGAGGUGGAGCAAAUCUAUAAACCUGGUCUCAGUUCGGAUUGUUCUCUGCAACUCGAGAACAUGAAGCUGGAAUCACUAGUAAUCGUAGAUCAGCUAUGCUACGGUGAAUACGUUCCCGGGUCUUGUACUCACCGCCCGUCACACCAUGGGAGUUGAUUUCACCCGAAGCGGGGAAGCUAAACUGGCUACCCUCCACGGUGGAAUUAGCGACUGGGGUGAAGUCGUAACAAGGUA
rnacentral:rRNA from 1 species